rnacentral:rRNA from 1 species
GCAAGUCGAACGAGAAGCUCACUUCGGUGAGUGGACAGUGGCGGACGGACGAGUAAUGCAUUCCUAAUGUACCCCGAGGUCAGGGAUAGCUCACCGAAAGGUGUGGUAAUACCUGAUGAUCCCAUCGGACCGUAUGGUUUGAUGGGCAAAGGCUUGCUGCCUCGGGAUCAGGGAAUGUGGUAUCAGCUUGUUGGUGGGGUAACGGCCUACCAAGGCGAAGACGCCUAGCGGGUGUGAGAGCACGACCCGCCGUAUCGGGACUGAGACACUGCCCGGACUCCUACGGGAGGCUGCAGUAACGGAUCUUCCGCAAUGCGCGAAAGCGUGACGGAGCAAUGCCGCGUGUAGGAUGAAGCACCUCGGUGUGUAAACUACUGUCAGGACUCAGGAAUAUUGACCAAGUCCAAAGGAAGGGCCGGCUAACUUCGUGCCAGCAGCCGCGGUAAUACGAAGGGCCCGAGCGUUGUGCGGAUUCACUGGGCUUAAAGGGUGCGUAGGCGGAUAUGUCAGUGCGUUGUGAAAGCCCACGGCUCAACCGUGGAAUUGCAGCGCAUACUGCAUGUCUUGAGGUCGGUAGGGGCUGUCGGAACUGUAGGUGUAGCGGUGAAAUGCGUAGAUAUCUACAGGAACACCAAUGGCGAAGGCAGACAGCUGGGCCGAUUCUGACGCUGAGGCACGAAAGCGUGGGGAGCAAACAGGAUUAGAUACCCUGGUAGUCCACGCCGUAAACGAUGUGCACUAGGUCCCGGUACCUCUGACGGUUUCGGGGCCGAAAAGAAAUCGAUAAGUGCACCGCCUGGGGAGUACGGUCGCAAGGCUAAAACUCAAAGGAAUUGACGGGGGCUCACACAAGCGGUGGAGCAUGUGGCU